rnacentral:rRNA from 1 species
CCUACGGGAGGCUGCAGUGAGGAAUAUUGGUCAAUGGGCGAGAGCCUGAACCAGCCAAGUCGCGUGAGGGAGUACUGCCCUAUGGGUUGUAAACCUCUUUUGUCGGGGAGCAAAAGCCGGACGUGUCCGGCUGUGAGAGUACCCGAAGAAAAAGCAUCGGCUAACUCCGUGCCAGCAGCCGCGGUAAUACGGAGGAUGCGAGCGUUAUCCGGAUUUAUUGGGUUUAAAGGGUGCGCAGGCGGAUUUUUAAGUCAGCGGUAAAAUCGUGGGGCUCAACCCCAUCCAGCCGUUGAAACUGGGGAUCUAGAGUGUGCGAGAGGUAUGCGGAAUGCGUGGUGUAUCGGUGAAAUGCAUAGAUAUCACGCAGAACCCCGAUUGCGAAGGCAGCAUACCGGUGCACAACUGACGCUCAGGCACGAAAGCGUGGGUAUCGAACAGGAUUAGAUACCCUGGUAGUC